CUCGAAGUUUCUUGCGGGUGGAUUCAGUCAGGAGUCUACGAUCCUUUCUCGGGUACGUGACCUCCCNACUUUUCUAAGUGGGAAGAGGGACUCCGUUGCAAGGCGUGACUCGAAGGGGGCCUGACGCAUUUCCAACCCGCAAUAUGACGCCGCAGCCGGUUGGGUAGCUGCGCGUGUCGGCCAUGAGGAUGUUGCAGUGGCAGUAGACCGUUUCUCGCUGUCUAAGUGGCGUUUGCCGGUUGUUUAGCCAGCUCAUCCGUGGCGCGACACCCGACCGAGGUUGAAGAAAUUCACUAGUUGGAUCUCGCCGUCCCCCAUCGGGACUGGUAAUCACUUACGAGUGUCGAGCGGGCCAGCGGACAGGCGAGUUGCUGCGCAAUGCCACUUACGUCACCGAACUGGGUGGGGCGCAGUAGCCGCUGGUGGUCCGUCUCUGGUUAGGACCGCGAUAGGGGCGAAAAAGAUGGCUUGUGGCGAGUAGGUCGGUCACCCACCCGACCCGUCUUGAAACACGGACCAAGGAGUCUAACAUGUGCGCGAGUCAUGGGGUCUUGAUUAGGCCCAGAGGCGUAAUGAAAGUGACUAAAUGUCCUAUAACUUGAGCUGGAUCAUCGAUUCUUAUCUUAUUAUAUGAUAAGUUGGGAUUUCCCUGAAUCGUCCAUAGCGUAUGGGGAAAGCACCAACGACCCGCCCUGUUCUUAAAUAUUAAGUGUGGACGGCGUUUGAGCGCACACGUUGGGACCCGAAAGAUGGUGAACUAUGCCUGGGCAGGACGAAGCCAGAGGAAACUCUGGUGGAGGUCCGCAGCGGUU
rnacentral:rRNA from 1 species